CAUCUUACAGAUGGCAACCUCGUUAUUAUUGCCUGUGUAUUUCGGACUCGAUAUCGAAGUCACAUUGCCUUGGUCGUCAGUGAGAGCAGCCUAACUUCUAUACACUGUCUAUAGUUUCCAGAUGUGAUUCAGACCGGGCAAGGUUCCAAAUCCAUACUUGACUUAUAUAUCAGUACUGGAAAGCUACAAAAAACAAUGAAAAAUCGCCCUAUGAGGGCUCGGGAAGCAUGACUAACCACACGCGUGACCUGUGCUAUGAUAUUCUUGCUCUCGGGUUUUUUUGCCUUUUUUAAACGCUGUACAAGUGUUUGAAGACGUACCACAGCCGACCGUCUUCCAGGAAGGGACCUCGAUAAGAUGGAUGGACAAGCGUGGAUGAUGGGCGCAUUCAAACAUCAUGCUUUCUCAUUUCUAAGGUCACUGAACGGAGCCAUGUGGAUUAACAACUACUUGGAUGAGAACGAACCGCAGGCGAACAAAAAGUGCUGCGAGUUUUGCAACACUGAAGUGCCAGAUAACAUAGCGAGGCGGUUCGGCUGUCCGCAAUGCAAUGCUAGGUACUGCUCCAAGGAACACAAGAAAGCGGACUUUCGUUUUCAUAAGAUGAGAUGUAUGAACUUUAACCACAAUUCUCCAUUCCCAAACACAACCAACUCAUUCAUUGGCGAUCCUUAUUGUCAGUCAAGCACACUACAUUCAGCAUUACGGACAGACAAUGAUAAUUAUAUUCCUACAACGUUUCAAACCUACCAACAAACCCCCAGUGCAGAAUUUUCUGGUAAUCGUUCUAACACCAACCAACUCUCUCCAGUUCGGACCAAUCAGGACUCUGUAAGCCCACAUAGAGUGACAUUGCAGCCACCUCAAAUGCAGUAUGGUCAGUCUAAUCCUACCUCAAGUACUAGUCCUGGCUGUAGUGGAGAAGGAUUGUCGUAUAUGCAAAAUCCUUCACCUUAUCAAAACCCUAAUAACCAGUUUUUCUUGACAACUACAGAAAAGCUGCCUUCGAUACAAGCUACUCAGACACGACAAACUCAACCAGGUUUAGCUAGUUAUUUAAAUGUACCAAACACAUGUGCAAACACGCAAAUGGGAACUGUUCAAAUGCCGAGUUACUCAAAUGAUGAUGAUCAGAUUACCUUAGAAGAUGCUCUCUCUUUCCUGGAUGAACAAGAGGCUAGACAGUACCCUAGUCCACAACAACAGCAACAGCAACAACAACAAGUACAGACACAGCAGCUAUCGCCAUUACCAAGCAGCAAUGUUACUACCAGCCCAGUACCUCUGAUCUCCACAGGUGAAACACCAUCAGCUGAACAAUACCAGCAGCUUCUGUUGAUGGACUCUAAUAGCAGCAUUUCUAGUCAAAUGUUGCCCAUUCAAGGCGAUCAGGGCUCGAUGAAGCACAGUCAAACUCUGUCACCUACCACUUCGAAUACUAUUCCAAGCGAGCAACAGUCUCAACAAUCUCCUUUGUCUCCUGAAAACAACGAGGUCGGCAAAAAUGAUGAGAUGCCAGCACGAUUUUGUGAGCACUUUGGGCUGUUAAACGAAUCUUCUGAUGCUGGCCCUCCAUUGAAGGAAGAGGGGAUUUUCAGUAGGUACGACUUGAGAGAAGUAGCUCAAUACAUAGUCCAGAGUCUUUGUAAAAACAACUACUGUAUUGUGGACUUCUUGCACGGAGAACCAAUUGCAGCGAACAUACUGGAAGAAGUUAAAGAGUUUCAUCAAGAAAAUGCGUUUUCUGAAGGCCUUUUAUCGUCGUCAAAGGGAAACAAAGGCAGUGCUAAGAAGAACGUACGAGAAGACCUUGUAGCAUGGACUGAUGGUAAAGGAAAGAAGGCUAUAAAGAAACACAUGAGUCGUAUGGAUCUGUUACUGAAGUUUUGCAAUAAGUUCAUAAAGGAGUGUGAGGUUUCUUCCAGAACACAGGCAAUGGUGGCAUGCUACCCAGGAGGAGGGACUGGGUACAAGCAGCACAUCGAUAAUCCAAGUAAAGAUGGUCGCUGUGUAACAACACUCUAUUAUCUUAAUCCUGACUGGAACAUUAAGACUGAUGGAGGAAUCCUUAAGUUGUUUCCAAGUGGAACAGAUCGCAAAACAGUCAACGUAGAACCCUAUUUUGACCGUCUUUUGUUAUUUUGGUCGGACAGACGAACACCACAUGAAGUGACUCCUGCUUUUAAAGUCAGAUAUGCCAUAACACUAUGGUACUUCGACGAACAAGAACGAAAAGAAUAUAUUAAUCGUUACAAAGAGGGAAAAGUAUAAGACCUAAAGUACAACAGAUAUAUCACCAUGUAUCAUCAGCUAUGGUUAUGGUAUGGUAUGGAGUGGUCCAUAUCCAUGACAAGACCUACAGUACAACAGAUAUAUCACCAUGCAUCAUCAGCUAUGGUUAUGGUAUGGAGUGGUCCAUAUCCAUGACAAGACCUACAGUACAACAGAUAUAUCGCCAUGUAUCAUCAACUAUGGCCCAUAUACAUAUAAGCAGUUAAAGCGGACACAUUCAAUAUUUUUGCUGCCUUUGGCCGUUUAGAAAACUUAUUGCAAUCAUCACCGAUCACUAAAGAAGACUUGUCAAGUCAGGAAAGAAAGACAAAAUUGAAUAUAACGAGGAAGUCAAUAACAUCAACACCAAGCAGUAUUGUGAGGAUAUUUUGGUACAAGGUUUUUUCAUUUUUAAAGUUUCUAGGUCUAAAAAGAGAUAGUACAUUUUGUAGGAUCGAAAUAUUUAGUUACUUUGGUCCAAAUGCUGAUAAAUCAUCUCAAUAUCGAAUGAUUUCGGUCCAAGGUGCGUACUUCCCUUGAAAAAGGCUUCAUUGGAUGGCACAAAUAAAACAAUACUUAUUUACUAUGAAAUAUUACACACUUUGCUAUAUAUAUAUAGAAUAUGUACAGUGUAUUAAUAGAGAAAAUGAACUACCAUCUGAGAACAAUUUUAGUUAGUAAUAAGCUUACUAAUCUAAGAAACGUACUUGUGUCAGAUAUGUAAAAUUUCUAAAAAAAAAUUCCAGUCAGUAAUUAUAGUCAUUCAAGUAUUUAUUGCAAAAAGACCAUUAUGAAAUGAUUAAUCGCCUUUUCUUAAACAAUUAAAUGCUUGAAUAGACCGUUUGCAUGAUGGCAUUAUUUUACGCCACAACCAGGGACUAACGACUCGCGAGUGUUCUUUCAAAUUCACUAUUCAUUUAUCAGGCAAACUUUCCCCUAAAUAAAAUUGCCGUUCGCACGAUUAUCGACUCUAUAUCCAUAUUUGACAAACUUACCUUUAUUUGAAAGUGAACAUAGAUUCCUUUUCGGUGAUUUUUUGCCCUUUGACGCUUUAAAAUGUUGAAAAUAUAAAUCAAAACUUUCAGAUAUUGUAGUGAAGGAACACUUGAAAUUGUCCACCAUCUUGAAUUUAGCUUAGAAACCUGGCAUUUGACAAAGGAAGCCCAAAGAGUUUAGAACCACAAGGAUGCACCGCGCAUGCUCAUGACAAUAUUAUCCGUAUUUUACCGACUAUUUUUCCUCGCUUAACUUUUUUUCAACUAGAAUCGAUCCUUAUCUUCUUUCUGCAUGUCGUCAUUUGAACUUGUCGAGGUUGACAUGCCACUUGAAGUGUGAACAUUUGAUUGCUAACGGUAACCGGAUAACUAUAACAAACCUGGCAAUUUAAUUAGAUUAUUCCGACAAUAUACCAUUUACUUUUA